rnacentral:rRNA from 1 species
GGGUUGUGAGGUUAAGCGACUAAGCGUACACGGUGGAUGCCCUGGCAGUCAGAGGCGAUGAAGGACGUGCUAAUCUGCGAUAAGCGUCGGUAAGGUGAUAUGAACCGUUAUAACCGGCGAUUUCCGAAUGGGGAAACCCAGUGUGUUUCGACACACUAUCAUUAACUGAAUCCAUAGGUUAAUGAGGCGAACCGGGGGAACUGAAACAUCUAAGUACCCCGAGGAAAAGAAAUCAACCGAGAUUCCCCCAGUAGCGGCGAGCGAACGGGGAGCAGCCCAGAGCCUGAAUCAGUGUGUGUGUUAGUGGAAGCGUCUGGAAAGGCGCGCGAUACAGGGUGACAGCCCCGUACACAAAAAUGCACAUGCUGUGAGCUCGAUGAGUAGGGCGGGACACGUGGUAUCCUGUCUGAAUAUGGGGGGACCAUCCUCCAAGGCUAAAUACUCCUGACUGACCGAUAGUGAACCAGUACCGUGAGGGAAAGGCGAAAAGAACCCCGGCGAGGGGAGUGAAAAAGAACCUGAAACCGUGUACGUACAAGCAGUGGGAGCACGCUUAGGCGUGUGACUGCGUACCUUUUGUAUAAUGGGUCAGCGACUUAUAUUCUGUAGCAAGGUUAACCGAAUAGGGGAGCCGAAGGGAAACCGAGUCUUAACUGGGCGUUAAGUUGCAGGGUAUAGACCCGAAACCCGGUGAUCUAGCCAUGGGCAGGUUGAAGGUUGGGUAACACUAACUGGAGGACCGAACCGACUAAUGUUGAAAAAUUAGCGGAUGACUUGUGGCUGGGGGUGAAAGGCCAAUCAAACCGGGAGAUAGCUGGUUCUCCCCGAAAGCUAUUUAGGUAGCGCCUCGUGAAUUCAUCUCCGGGGGUAGAGCACUGUUUCGGCAAGGGGGUCAUCCCGACUUACCAACCCGAUGCAAACUGCGAAUACCGGAGAAUGUUAUCACGGGAGACACACGGCGGGUGCUAACGUCCGUCGUGAAGAGGGAAACAACCCAGACCGCCAGCUAAGGUCCCAAAGUCAUGGUUAAGUGGGAAACGAUGUGGGAAGGCCCAGACAGCCAGGAUGUUGGCUUAGAAGCAGCCAUCAUUUAAAGAAAGCGUAAUAGCUCACUGGUCGAGUCGGCCUGCGCGGAAGAUGUAACGGGGCUAAACCAUGCACCGAAGCUGCGGCAGCGACACUGUGUGUUGUUGGGUAGGGGAGCGUUCUGUAAGCCUGUGAAGGUGUGCUGUGAGGCAUGCUGGAGGUAUCAGAAGUGCGAAUGCUGACAUAAGUAACGAUAAAGCGGGUGAAAAGCCCGCUCGCCGGAAGACCAAGGGUUCCUGUCCAACGUUAAUCGGGGCAGGGUGAGUCGACCCCUAAGGCGAGGCCGAAAGGCGUAGUCGAUGGGAAACAGGUUAAUAUUCCUGUACUUGGUGUUACUGCGAAGGGGGGACGGAGAAGGCUAUGUUGGCCGGGCGACGGUUGUCCCGGUUUAAGCGUGUAGGCUGGUUUUCCAGGCAAAUCCGGAAAAUCAAGGCUGAGGCGUGAUGACGAGGCACUACGGUGCUGAAGCAACAAAUGCCCUGCUUCCAGGAAAAGCCUCUAAGCAUCAGGUAACAUCAAAUCGUACCCCAAACCGACACAGGUGGUCAGGUAGAGAAUACCAAGGCGCUUGAGAGAACUCGGGUGAAGGAACUAGGCAAAAUGGUGCCGUAACUUCGGGAGAAGGCACGCUGAUAUGUAGGUGAAGUCCCUCGCGGAUGGAGCUGAAAUCAGUCGAAGAUACCAGCUGGCUGCAACUGUUUAUUAAAAACACAGCACUGUGCAAACACGAAAGUGGACGUAUACGGUGUGACGCCUGCCCGGUGCCGGAAGGUUAAUUGAUGGGGUUAGCGCAAGCGAAGCUCUUGAUCGAAGCCCCGGUAAACGGCGGCCGUAACUAUAACGGUCCUAAGGUAGCGAAAUUCCUUGUCGGGUAAGUUCCGACCUGCACGAAUGGCGUAAUGAUGGCCAGGCUGUCUCCACCCGAGACUCAGUGAAAUUGAACUCGCUGUGAAGAUGCAGUGUACCCGCGGCAAGACGGAAAGACCCCGUGAACCUUUACUAUAGCUUGACACUGAACAUUGAGCCUUGAUGUGUAGGAUAGGUGGGAGGCUUUGAAGUGUGGACGCCAGUCUGCAUGGAGCCGACCUUGAAAUACCACCCUUUAAUGUUUGAUGUUCUAACGUUGACCCGUAAUCCGGGUUGCGGACAGUGUCUGGUGGGUAGUUUGACUGGGGCGGUCUCCUCCUAAAGAGUAACGGAGGAGCACGAAGGUUGGCUAAUCCUGGUCGGACAUCAGGAGGUUAGUGCAAUGGCAUAAGCCAGCUUGACUGCGAGCGUGACGGCGCGAGCAGGUGCGAAAGCAGGUCAUAGUGAUCCGGUGGUUCUGAAUGGAAGGGCCAUCGCUCAACGGAUAAAAGGUACUCCGGGGAUAACAGGCUGAUACCGCCCAAGAGUUCAUAUCGACGGCGGUGUUUGGCACCUCGAUGUCGGCUCAUCACAUCCUGGGGCUGAAGUAGGUCCCAAGGGUAUGGCUGUUCGCCAUUUAAAGUGGUACGCGAGCUGGGUUUAGAACGUCGUGAGACAGUUCGGUCCCUAUCUGCCGUGGGCGCUGGAGAACUGAGGGGGGCUGCUCCUAGUACGAGAGGACCGGAGUGGACGCAUCACUGGUGUUCGGGUUGUCAUGCCAAUGGCACUGCCCGGUAGCUAAAUGCGGAAGAGAUAAGUGCUGAAAGCAUCUAAGCACGAAACUUGCCCCGAGAUGAGUUCUCCCUGAC